CACGCCUCCCACCAAGGCUAUAGCCCACCCUUUUUUUGGCCAUUUUUCCGCUGGGGGGUCUUGGGACCCCGACCUUCGGGGGCUGAUUUUUGGGCGCGGCUGUGCCCGUGGCCUAUUUUUUGCACACGGAGGCCGCCCGCCAAGUAGGGUGCCAUUCCGAGUCCCGCGGACGAACUUCGCCCACGCCCCCCGCCAAGGCUAUAGCCCACUCGUUUUUUGGCCAUUUUUCCGCUGGGGGGUCUUGGGAACCCGACAUUCGGGGACUGAUUUUUGGACGCGGCUGUGCCCGUGGCCUAUUUUUGGCACACGGAGGCCGCCCGCCAAGUCUAGGGCCAUUCCGAGUCCCACGGACGAACUUCGCCCAUGCCCCCCACCAAGGCUAUAGCCCACCCGUUUUUUGGCCAUUUUUCCGCUGGGGGGUCUUGGGACCCCGACCUUCGGGGGCUGAUUUUUGGGAGCGGCUGUGCCCGUGGCCUAUUUUUGGCACACGGAGGCCGCCCGCCAAGUCUGGUGCCAUUCCGAGUCCCGCGGACGAACUUCGCCCACGCCGCCCACCAAGGCUAUAGCCCACCCGUUUUUUGGCCAUUUUUCCGCUGGGGGAUCUUGGGACCCCGACCUUCGGGGGCUGAUUUUUGGGCGCGGCUGUGCCCGUGGCCUAUUUUUGGCACACGGAGGCCGCCCGCCAAGUCUGGGGCCAUUCCGAGUCCCGUGGACGAACGUCGCCCACGCCCCCCACCAAGGCUAUAGCCCACCCUUUUUUUGGCCAUUUUUCCGCUGGGGGGUCUUGGGACCCCGACCUUCGGGGGCUGAUUUUUGGGCGCCGCUGUGCCCGUGGCCUAUUUUUUGCACAUGGAGGCCGCCCGCCAAGUAUGGUGCCAUUCCGAGUCCCGCGGAUGAACUUCGCCCACGCCCCCCGCCAAGGCUAUAGCCCACCCUUUUUUUUGGCCAUUUUUCCGCUGGGGGGUCUUGGGACCCCGACCUUCGGGGGCUGGUUUUUGGGAGCGGCUGUGCCCGUGCGCAAAUUUUGGCACACGGAGGCCGCCCGCCAAGUCUGGUGCCAUUCCGAGUCCCGCGGACGAACUUCGCCCACGCCCCCCACCUAGGCUAUAGCCCACCCUUUUUUUGGCCAUUUUUCCGCUGGGGGGUCUUGGGACCCCGACCUUCGGGGGCUGAUUUUUGGGAGCGGCUGUGGCCGUGGGCUAUUUUUGGCACACGGAGGCCGCCCGCCAAGUCUGGUGCCAUUCCGAGUCCUGCGGAUGAACUUCGCCCACGCCCCCCACCAAGGCUAUAGCCCACCCUUUUUUUGGCCAUUUUUCCGCUGGGGGGUCUUGGGGCCCCGACCUUCGGGGGCUGAUUUUUGGGAGCGGCUGUGCCCGUGGGCUAUUUUUGGCACACGGAGGCCGCCCGCCAAGUCUGGUGCCAUUCCGAGUCCCGCGGACGAACUUCGCCCACGCCGCCCACCAAGGCUAUAGCCCACCCGUUUUUUGGCCAUUUUUCCGCUGGGGGAUCUUAGGGACCCCGACCUUCGGGGGCUGAUUUUUGGGGCGCGGCUGUGCCCGUGGCCUAUUUUUGGCA
rnacentral:lncRNA from 1 species